ACAAAAUAUAAAUCAAAAACUGUCAAACAUUAUAGAAUUUUUUAAAUCAAUUUUCUUAAGUCGCGAAACUGUUUUCAAGUCCAACAUCCUUUCUCAUUCAACAACUUAAAAUAUCUUCUGAAAUGAAAUCUCAUCAAAAUGCAACUGAAUUAGAAAAACAAGAUGCAAAUAUUUUAAUUGGCUGUUUUUUUUUCUAAUAAACGGAAAAAAUAACUCUUUACGAUAUUUUCAAGAAAGAACGACAUUUUCACAGAAAAAACAUUCAAAAUAAUAGCAAAUAAAAAAAAAAGGAAGAAAAUAUCCCGCCGCGUUCUGAUGAAAUAUUCAGCUGUGAAUCAAAUUAAAUCAUUUACUCCCGCUGCCGUUACAAACAAUUGCCAACGAGCGCAGCGUUUGUGUCUUCAAAAAUAUUCGUUGCAUAAAUCGUCGAUGACCCCGCGUUGAACACAGGCAACAAGCAGCAUCAUUGCAUCUUGAGAAAUGGAAGUUUUUGUUUCUCAUCACAACAGCUGUCUCCGAUCUGACUCUGUCAUAAAAAAAUAAAAAUGUUAAACUUUAUAAAAGGAUGCCAACAUAAAUGGUGGUGGAGGUAAAGGAGGAGGGGGUGGAUAAAACUUUCGUUCUAUUCAUUUCAAGAAGACAUUCAAUUCCUUAAUUUUUCUGUAAGACACUUGAAGUUGCACUUGAAGUGUUAUAGCGAACAAAAUAAAAAAAAUAAAAAACAAAAAGCGUGCGACAAAUGAACUGAAACACAAGCGAAAUAACAAAGGAAUUGCAAGUAAUAAUUAAACUCUAGGAUGUCCUUUCGAUGAUGACGCCAUGAUGAUGGCGGCGAUGAUGGGAGAAAAAACUAUGGUCUGGGUGCCGAAAAAACAACUGUUAAUUGCUUCAACAGUUGCAAGGAUACACAAGUUUGUAAGUGUCGCUUAAAUCAACUCGCAAAAAAAAAAUACCGUAAGAUAAAAAAAAUCUGUUUUACGAAAAAAAAACCUCCUUUCCGUUGCUUUGAUGAGAAAGGAAAAACAGACAUUCACAACCUGCUUUGCAAUUCAUCCACAUUUUGCGGGUUCAUUGGCCAAUUGGAGUCAGUGGAAAAGGGGAAAUAAGGGCGGCAGUCAAGAGAUGAUGAUGUUUUCAAGUUUCCUUACCCCCAACCGUUGGCAUAUUUUAACUUAAUGACUUUUCUGAUAAAGGGCGAGUGAAGUAGAUUUUCAGUAUUAUUAUUUUUUUUUUUUACUUUUUUCUUCUUUUUUGGAAAAAUGUUUUAUUUACUUCUAAAUAUUUGAUGUGGCUUGGAAAUGAGGGGACACAACUUUCCAUCUAUCUUCUAUACCAUCCCUUUGCUAUCUCUGUUUCCACAAGUUUUUCGUUUUUUAUUUUUGAAUUUUUUUUUUCUCGAGGUCAUUACGUCAAAUUGGAUUUGUAUGAAUUUUUCAUUUGAUUUCAUGUAAAUUUUUAAACUUGGUUUUUCCAACAACAACAACAACGAACAACGACAGCGGCGGCGGCAGAGUAGAAAAAAAAAAUCAAAAUAAUAAUCAGAGGUAAUUACAGCGAAAAUUGAGUCACUUCCUUUUCUUCUCCUUGAUAUGGCAGGCAGGACAUCCAGGACGAUUUUAGCUUCGAUAUAUACUUAACUUACUCCAUUUUAUAAUGAGAUACUAUUUUAUAGACAGGAACUCAUUAAAUUAAGACAUCCUUUAAGACUCACAAAUUAAAAAUGUAACACUGCAAUGAGAGUGUUUCGUAACCUUGGUCCUUGGGAGUGAGCAGAAAUAUUCUUAUACUUGCUAAAUAAAAACGAGACUUUUGAUAAAGUGUCACUUUUGAACUGAAAUAGUAAACGAAAGCGAGGGAGAGAGAGAAGGAACGAAAACGAAGAAAUAGUAAUGGAGUGUGUAAAUAAAAUGGAGAAAAGACAAUUUGUAGAUUAAAUAGAUAUUUUAUCUAAUAAAAGGGUUGGCUGUUUAUUUAUUUAUAAGUUUCAAAUGUUCAUCAUCAAAGUUGGCGGAGGGAUUUAUAAAUUACGUUUGGUUGGACUUGGACGUUGUUGGACGAAGUGAGCUGUCUUUUUUUUUCUUUUCUCUGUAACUUCUUUUGAGGAUUAAGAGGGAACUUUAUGUUAAAGGGAAGUGUCUUAACAAGGUAAUUAUAGAGAAUGUUUGUUAAAUUAAUUUGCGCUUAACAGAUGUUAUUUUUAUUUGAGAGAGCGAAAGAAAAAGAUUAGCUGAGGGAAUUUUAGAUUAGAAUAUGAUUGGGCCAGCUAGCAGCGAGCUAGAAAGGCAUGAAUAAAUAUUAAAACUCUGGGUCUAAUACAAAGGUUUUUUUUAUA